rnacentral:rRNA from 1 species
UACAGAGGGGGCAAGCGUUAUUCGGAAUUAUUGGGCGUAAAGAGCGUGUAGGCGGCCAUUUAAGUCCUGCGUGAAAUCCUGCGGCUCAACCGCAGACGGUCGUGGGAAACUGGAUGGCUAGAGUGCGGGAGAGGAGAGUGGAAUUCCCGGUGUAGCGGUGAAAUGCGCAGAUAUCGGGAAGAACACCCGUGGCGAAGGCGGCUCUCUGGAACGCAACUGACGCUGAGACGCGAAAGCGUGGGGAGCAAACAGG